rnacentral:rRNA from 1 species
GAUGAACGCUGGCGGCGUGCCUAAUGCAUGCAAGUCGAGCGAAUGGAUUGAGAGCUUGCUCUUAUGAAGUUAGCGGCGGACGGGUGAGUAACACGUGGGUAACCUGCCCAUUAGACUGGGAUAACUCCGGGAAACCGGGGCUAAUACCGGAUAACAUUUUGAACCGCAUGGUUCGAAAUUGAAAGGCGGCUUCGGCUGUCACUUAUGGAUGGACCCGUGUCGCAUUAGCUGGUUGGUGAGGUAACGGCUCACCAAGGCAACGAUGCGUAGCCGACCUGAGAGGGUGAUCGGCCACACUGGGACUGAGACACGGCCCAGACUCCUACGGGAGGCAGCAGUAGGGAAUCUUCCGCAAUGGACGAAAGUCUGACGGAGCAACGCCGCGUGAGUGAUGAAGGCUUUCGGGUCGUAAAACUCUGUUGUUAGGGAAGAACAAGUGCUAGUUGAAUAAGCUGGCACCUUGACGGUACCUAACCAGAAAGCCACGGCUAACUACGUGCCAGCAGCCGCGGUAA